AGCAGUAGCCGCGGUAAAACGUAGGUGGCAAGCGUUGUCCGGAAUUAUUGGGCGUAAAGGGCUCGCAGGCGGUUUCUUAAGUCUGAUGUGAAAGCCCCCGGCUCAACCGGGGAGGGUCAUUGGAAACUGGGAAACUUGAGUGCAGAAGAGGAGAGUGGAAUUCCACGUGUAGCGGUGAAAUGCGUAGAGACGUGGAGGAACACCAGUGGCGAAGGCGACUCUCUGGUCUGUAACUGACGCUGAGGAGCGAAAGCGUGGGGAGCGAACAGGAUUAGAUACCCGCGUAGUCCCUGUCUCUUAUAC
rnacentral:rRNA from 1 species